CAGUCGCCACGGGAAUACAGAGGGUGCAAGCGUUAAUCGGAAUUACUGGGCGUAAAGCGCGCGUAGGUGGUUUGUUAAGUUGAAUGUGAAAUCCCCGGGCUCAACCUGGGAACUGCAUCCAAAACUGGCAAGCUAGAGUAGGGCAGAGGGUGGUGGAAUUUCCUGUGUAGCGGUGAAAUGCGUAGAUAUAGGAAGGAACACCAGUGGCGAAGGCGACCACCUGGGCUCAUACUGACACUGAGGUGCGAAAGCGUGGGGAGCAAACAGGAUUAGAUACCCCUGUAGUCCCUGUCUCUUAUAC
rnacentral:rRNA from 1 species